AUGACCUCCAGCUUGGACAUGUUGAUGUUGCGGGAGGAGAAGGCGGAGAGCACCUUGAGCACCACCGCCAUGGACCCGCCCCGGUGCGCGACCACCAUGCUGGUCUUGGCGUCCGCGUCCACGGGGACCGCCACCGGCGACGGCGGCUUGGAGAGCAGCAGGAAGCGGGUGACGUUCCAGGACUCGUCCUGCAGGCCGUGCGCGAGGACGUCGAGGCCGUAGAGGUCGGCGGCGCGCGGGCUGGCGAUGGCGGCCGUGUCGAGCAUCAUGUUGGAGCGCAGCAUCUCGACGGCGCCGGCAGUGUCCUCGACCGGCUCUCGGUCGACGCCGAGGCGCGCGAGGGCGCGGCCGCAGUGCGCGAGCGCCAUGGGGUGGCUGAUGACCCGGCGCACCUCGGUGGCGCGCACCCCGGGCAUGGCCAGGAGGCAGUAG
rnacentral:rRNA from 1 species